GACGAACCGUGCGAACGUUAUUCGGAAUCACUGGGCUUAAAGCGCGUGUAGGCGGGCCGCCGCGUCGGCUGCUGAAAUCCCCCGGCUCAACCGGGGAACGGGCACCGAUACGGGCGGCCUCGAGGGGGGUAGGGGGGGUCUGGAACUUCCGGUGGAGCGGUGAAAUGCGUUGAGAUCGGAAGGAACGCCCGUGGCGAAAGCGGCUCACUGGACCACAACUGACGCUGAGGCGCGAAAGCUAGGGGAGCAAACAGG
rnacentral:rRNA from 1 species